rfam:Cathartes aura contig170753, whole genome shotgun sequence.
UUCCUUCUGAAAAGCUCUUGCUGGGUCUGUGGUUGUGGCUCAGUGAGAUGUCGUGGAAGGAGACAGCAAAAGUAUCGCUUGUGGGUGAAGCGGCAGCCUGUGCUGCUCGCUUCAGUCGGUGAUUCGACAAGG